CUAGCAUACACAUGCGAGUCGAACGGUAGCACAGAGAGCUUGCUCUCGGGUGACGAGUGGCGGACGGGUGAGUAAUGUCUGGGAAACUGCCUGAUGGAGGGGGAUAACUACUGGAAACGGUAGCUAAUACCGCAUAACGUCGCAAGACCAAAGAGGGGGACCUUCGGGCCUCUUGCCAUCAGAUGUGCCCAGAUGGGAUUAGCUAGUAGGUGGGGUAACGGCUCACCUAGGCGACGAUCCCUAGCUGGUCUGAGAGGAUGACCAGCCACACUGGAACUGAGACACGGUCCAGACUCCUACGGGAGGCAGCAGUGGGGAAUAUUGCACAAUGGGCGCAAGCCUGAUGCAGCCAUGCCGCGUGUAUGAAGAAGGCCUUCGGGUUGUAAAGUACUUUCAGCGGGGAGGAAGGCGAUAAGGUUAAUAACCUUGUCGAUUGACGUUACCCGCAGAAGAAGCACCGGCUAACUCCGUGCCAGCAGCCGCGGUAAUACGGAGGGUGCAAGCGUUAAUCGGAAUUACUGGGCGUAAAGCGCACGCAGGCGGUCUGUCAAGUCGGAUGUGAAAUCCCCGGGCUCAACCUGGGAACUGCAUUCGAAACUGGCAGGCUAGAGUCUUGUAGAGGGGGGUAGAAUUCCAGGUGUAGCGGUGAAAUGCGUAGAGAUCUGGAGGAAUACCGGUGGCGAAGGCGGCCCCUGGACAAGACUGACGCUCAGGUGCGAAAGCGUGGGAGCAAACAGGAUUAGAUACCCUGGUAGUCCACGCGUAACGAUGUCGACUUGGA
rnacentral:rRNA from 1 species